GCCGCACUGCGCGGCGAUACCGCCGAGGUCCCCGCCCUGCUGUGCGCAUGCACCGCAGAUCAGCCUCCAUAGGCGCGGCGGCGCCGCGGAGCAUCCUGGGAUAUGUAGUGCGCGGCAGCGCUCGGCGGGAGUUGUAGUCCCCGCCUAAGGGGGAGGUGGGCCGCAGGCAGGCGGGGUGCCGGGCGUGUGAUUAGAUAAACACGGUGGUCUCCUACUCAGAAAAAAAAAACAACAGUACAGUCAGAAAGAGGAAGGAUAUGCACAAUAAUUAUGCACAAUAAAUAUGCACAAUAAUUAUGACAACAUAGAAUGUGACAUGCUGCUUGUGCCUCGUGCCAGCAGCACCAUUUGAGCAGAGCCCCACACUGCCCACUUUCAUUGCAGGGGAGUUGGACCCGGUGACCUUUAAAAGUCCCUUCCAACUCCAACGAUUCUAUGAUUGCUGCCACGUGACAGAGUUUUCAGCAGUGGUUAUGAAACGUGAGCAGUGAUGCUGCAGCCAUUUUGUCCCUGGGGAACUGAGGCAGGCAGUGUAUAAGUCACUGUGGUAUGGAAUGCAGUGGUGAUGGCACAACCUGUCUCACAGAGAGCUGUGCUACUGGCUGCAGUCUGCCUUGGAAAGAAUUCAUUGUUUGGGCGCGUGAAGAUUCCUCUGCUGCACUUCUCCUCUUGGUUCAGCUUUGCCAAGCUCUGUUCCUGUUUUUCUGAGUGGAGUAUUAUUUUCUGGAACCCCCGUCUUCAUCCUUUCUCUUGGAAGGAGAUUUACCAGGAAACAGCAGAUCUUCCACUCUUGCUAAAACCAGCUCCACUGGUUGUAGGAGUAGCUUUGAUGGGUUGUGUAAGAAAAGGAUUGCUGGGUCAUCUCCAGCUCACCAAGCUGAUGGUGGUGCUGGCAUCUGCUUUCCAUGCAGUCUGUCAUCGCAGAGGUGACAAAUGUUGACAGCUGUUUGCCGUCGGGCUCAUCUCCAUACCAUGCUCAUCUCCAGUGAGAAGUUCUCUGAGUCAGCCAGGUGGCUUUGCGUUUUGGAGGCAGAGUGUAUAUUUCCAUGGUAAUUUGGCUGGAUUUUUGUUCCCCCUGCUAUCUGGAAUGGCAGCAUUUCCAAAAGGUACAUUGGGCACUCUGGAUUUUAUUAUUGUUAUUCUGUACGUUGUUGGGCUAUGAAAUUCUUCAGUCCUUUUUGCUUUCGGACUGCUUGCAAUUCUGAUAUUAAUAAUGAAAAUGUGGCUGGUUCUGUCAGACCUACUCUGUCCCAGGGAGAAGAUAACAGGAGUGAUUUAAUUCUUUGAAUUAUUUGGUAGGCUCAUUGCACUCUUAGAAACGUCUGAAAGCAACUGUAACGGCAUGGGCCAUGUGCACGACCUCAGUACAAUGAAAAUACAUCCUCAGAUGUUAAAUAAUGCGUGAGGAACAACUGCACGCUGGGAUGAAUUAAGGUUAGAAGGGAGCAAGACAGGAUGAUGCUGGGAAAAAAAGAUAAAUAUUUGAUGGCAGGGAAGAUGCACAUCUCUCAUUUUAAUAGAGGUUAGUUAAGGUUUUGUUUAAAGAAACUAAGUGUGGUGCUGGUAGCUUCUGGGGAACCCCAGAGUGCCGGCUCCUGCCCAGGGGAAAGCCGGGCACCAGCCGCCCCCGAGCUGCUGGAAUUGAGAGCCUCAGCACUGUAGAACUGCCCGCUUACUGAGAAAUCAAGGCUGUGAUAGGGAGCCAAUUUAUUCCACAAAAUGAAAGAGCUGAGAUAAGGAAGAACAAAGGACAAAAGGAAAGAAAGGCAGAAAAUAAUGAUGGCUAACGAUUAUAUGACUAACCAACACCCCCGCAAUGAUUAAACAUUAAACUCCCACAAGCUAAGUAAACACAAAAAUACCCUCCAAAUUCCCCAAAGGCUUUGUCUUCUUAGCGGCAAGGGCUGAACUUGAGAGAAGAGCAUAGCACGUGGUGCCUAUGGCUCCCAUACAACCCCUGUAGGCGCUCAUCAGAGUCCCCCUUUCACGGCUGGUUUCUAGCCCAAAAAAGCAACAUGGUGGUAUUUUUCUCCCUGAAGGAGUAAUUUGGGGUCACGCAUCCUUAGCAUUGGAGGUUUCAAGGCAGCGGCUUCCCAUGCAGCGCCAGCAUUGCAGCACGCACGGGCACGCCAGGGCAAGUAGUGCUCAAGCAUGUCCUCCUUGCCAGGCUCCUUGCUUACAGAAAACUUCACCUUCCCACCUCCCCUUUGGUGUGCAGCCAUGUUUGUGUUGCAGGCUGGAAGCGGGGGCAGCAGGAGGUGCUGAAUGGUGAUUCAGAGCUGCUCUGAGGUGGUUUUUCCUGUGGAUGGCAAUGAGUCGCCGCAAGGAAGAGGGGAUGAGUUGUUGGCAGAGGGGCUGGGUCCGGGGGAACACCUCCUGGAAGUGCUGCAACACCAUUCCCAGUCACCUUUAGGCACAUGGAAGAGGUACACAGGGAUGCCUGGCUGCUGUGUGUUGGCAAAUACACCAGCUUGGUUAAAGUUGCGCCAAAAAUCCAGGUGGGCAGAAGGUCAGAUGUGCCAAAGUGAUUUCCGCUUGCAAAGUCUGAAAAUAGUUCACUCCUAAAGCUCACCUCCAUCACUUAGAACAAAACAGAAUCAAACUGUUACAUGUAAUAUAAUAAAUGUUCAUUUCUUUCAAUGCUGCAAGAAAGAGGGCAGACCCACGUGGUACUGAAAGUUUGCCCCACGCAAAAGUGGAGCUGUGCACAGUGGGACUGUUUGUCAGCAGAGCAAAAGUCAUGGCUAGACAGAUGCAAGCAAUUGUGUUAUUGUGGCUAAUAAGUUAAUUCAGCCCCAAGGAAGGCAAGUUUAUACAUAGAUAUGUAGAUAUAUACACAUAUAUAUGGAUACAUGUGUGUAUAUGUGUGUGGGUAGGUAUAUAUGUAUGUGUAUGUAUGUGUGUAUAUCUAUUUUCUUAUGUUUCCAGUAGGCUGUGGCCUGCUUGCAGCUAGGAAAUAUGGCUCAGUGAGUGAGGAGUGGUGUAGAAAGCUCAACUGGUUGGACAAAUGUCUGUGCAAAUGACAACAGCGUGCUAAAGACUGUUUUAAGGCAUAGAAAUGUGGGGAACCAAAGAGGUUGGCUGGCAGGAGAAAAGUAAAUGAGAAUAAGAGGAUAGAGGAGCAAAGAAGAGAAUAGGAAUGAAUGUUAGAGGAGUUUAAAAAAAGGGAAUUACGGAACAGACAUAACAUCAGGGGAGAUUACAGGGAGAAAGCAGACUGAGUUGACCUCUUUCCGAUGGCAGUGGUGAAACAAAAUCCAUUAUUGGUACCUCUAGUGAUUGUGUAGCUCACAGCUUGGCAAAUCCAGCCUGGCACAGCCAAAGGCAGAGAGCCGGGUGCUGCUGCUCUGCUGUUUUGCUUCCUUGGACGGAGGCCGUGACAUUGCUAUUUUCCACUAGACUGCUCAGCUGUCUGUUUACAAACAGAGCAGCGUCUCCCACAUCUGUCUGCAUUCUCCUUGCAGCUACAUCAUGUUCUCUGCAAGUUCCCACACUGCACGCUGCCCUUUACAGGACGGUAACUGAGCUGGUGCCCGUCAAACACCGUCCAGCUUAGCUCACCUAACAAAACAGAAGGGCAAACUCGCACCUGAUGAAAGCUGUCUUAGCUGUGACAUCAUGUUUUGCUAGUUUGAGCAACCAAUUUGAGAAGGUUGAAGAGGAAUAAAGAGAUGACACAGUAGGAUAUUUCUGGAAAUGUCUAGAUUUCUACAAAUACUGAUGAAAUCAUAACCAGAACGAAGUGCAGCUGUGCAGGGAAGAGGCACCUCUUGUUUCACCUCUGUCCUCAGGCCAAAAGGAGCCCAGCCUGGUUGGAGAAGAGAUGUGGCUGCUCAGCAUCACAGCACCCAAAGCAGCCUUAGUUCUUCUUUAACCUUGGGUUAUGAGUAUGAAGAAUCAUAGAACAGCUCAAGUUGGAAAGGACCUAAGAGAUCAUCCAAGCCCUGCGCUGGGCUGGGUGCCCCCCAGCAGGGUGCACAGGGCCCAUCCGUGGCCUUGGGCACCUCCAGACGUGGGGCAUCCACACUUCUCUGGGCAAUCCUGCAUGUGAACUCGGGAGCAUUCUGCCUACAGGAGUUACCUGCUAGAGGACAUCCCCAAAUGUUUUACAUUUCCUAAACUACACCGGUGUUGUAAUUACACAAAUAACCAAACAGAGGUUUUAUUAGGAACUGUUUAGACUUACAUACUCAGCCACCUGUUAUCUGCUAAAAUGUUGGCAGAAAUGAUUGUUUUAAUUCCCUCUUGGAGUUGUGAUUUAGUGCAAGCAUGCUGCCUUUUUGUUCAUGAGCAAAAAAUAAAUCUUAUGCUGAAAUGAGCAUGUGGUAUUUGGCACAGUGUUCUCUUGACCCCAGAAUUACCACAAAACGUGUAUUUUAAUGUUGACAGUAAAUGUGUUUACA
rnacentral:lncRNA from 1 species